ensembl:snoRNA
CUGAGCUUGUGAUGACACAAAAAGUUAUCCCUGUCUGAAAUGGAAGCUUUUCUGACUUGUGGAGUUGUGGAUUCUGAAGCUCAG